AUGUUGGUAUCAAAAUUUAGGAGGACAUUGUUAGGAAUAUGGUGAUGUUUUUCUAAUUUUGACUACAGGUACAUAUUGUGACUCUCGAGAUUAGUGGUUUGUCAAUAGUGCCUAAAAAUGACAAUUAUUAUGGUUAGAGUAUGUACAGAUUAGUUCAUGAUGGUUGUAACUAUUGGUUUCACAAGGACAUAAGUCUUCCAUUUGGUGUUAGUAAGAAUAUGGCCAGUUACCUUAAGUGACACAGAGUAUGCUAUCAUAUUACGCAACUUACACCCACUAAGUGUUAGAUGUUAUGAGCCCUUGAAAUUGCCUUUCUAACAAACGAAAAUCACACUAAAUAACGUAUGAUUUUUAUCAAUGAAGAUUAAAGUACUAAGAAUAACAAUGAAUGAUAUAAUUACCAUACCUUUGCCAUUAAUGGUAGACCUCCGCACUUCUUAGCAAUCUCUUUACCAGUUGUCUCUUGCUCUUUGGACAUAGGAAAACUCCCAACUGGAACUGCUUUAUCCUUUAUUAUGAGCCAACACCCAUCAUCUGAUAGUUUUUUCAAAUCACAUCUAGGAAGAGUCUCCAUGAUUUUUGCAACUUUGUCAAUACGGGAAGUGACAAUAAUGCUGCUUCCUUGAGUAUCAUUAAAUGAUAACAAACAAUCUCUCAACUCUUUCCAUUUAUC
rnacentral:lncRNA from 1 species